rnacentral:misc_RNA from 1 species
UCUCCGUUGGUGAACCAGCGGAGGGAUCAUUACUGAGUUUACAACUCCCAAACCCCUGUGAACAUACCUGUCGUUGCCUCGGCGGGACCGCCCCGGCGCCCCUCGGCCCGGAACCAGGCGCCCGCCGGAGGCCCUCGAACCAUCGUUUUACUUCGUGUUCUGAGUGGCGCAAGCAAAAACAAAUCAAUCAAAACUUUCAACAAUGGAUCUCUUGGUUCUGGCAUCGAUGAAGAACGCAGC